UAGGGAAUCUUGCGCAAUGGGCGAAAGCCUGACGCAGCGACGCCGCGUGCGGGAUGACGGCCUUCGGGUUGUAAACCGCUUUCAGCAGGGACGAAAGUGACGGUACCUGCAGAAGAAGCCCCGGCCAACUACGUGCCAGCAGCCGCGGUAAUACGUAGGGGGCUAGCGUUGUCCGGAUUUAUUGGGCGUAAAGAGCUCGUAGGCGGUUCGAUAAGUCGACGGUGAAAUCUCCACGCUCAACGUGGAGGGGUCCGUUGAUACUGUCGUGACUCGAGUCCGGUAGAGGAGUGUGGAAUUCCCGGUGUAGCGGUGAAAUGCGCAGAGAUCGGGAGGAACACCCGUAGCGAAGGCGGCACUCUGGGCCGGUACUGACGCUGAGGAGCGAAAGCGUGGGGAGCAAACAG
rnacentral:rRNA from 1 species